UGCUUCCCUUGAAAGGCACUGUGCUGUGAA
rnacentral:piRNA from 1 species